UGUAUAAUUGUUACAAAUUCAAUUCUAAAUAAGUAUCACAAACAUUUUAAUGUUGAUAUUGAUAAUAUUUUUAACAUAAUACUUCAGUUACAAUAAUAAUUCUUUAUUUGAAUUACCACUAAAAAUCUACUAGUACAAGUACUAUCUUAAAAAGUGAAAAUUAAUUCAAUUUAUUAAAAUUUAAAAAUGAAAAUCUAAAAAAAAAACAUAUAUAGAAAAUAAAAUAUAUAUAAUUAAAAAAAAUAACAUAUCUUAAAUAGUUAACCUAUUAACGUAAUGGACAUUGAGAACACACAUAAAUAUAUUUUCAAAAUUUGAACUAACUAUUUAGUAAGAACACUUUAUUAUUUGAUCAAGAGAAAAUACAUCAAAUCUUCCCUAAACUUGGCACGAAAACUCGUUUUAGUACUUAAACUACACGGGUGUUUAUGGUUUGAUGUGAAUUAUUUUUAACCUUCCGAGCUCCAGCCCAGUUGAAGGCUGGCAUUGUUACACACGCGCCUUUUUAGUGGUCCACGUUGCCUAAGGAUUUAAAAAGUAUCUUACCCGUUCCCAAAAUACAACCCGGCCCACUUAUAAACAAAUAUUCCUAAAUCUUUAAGAUCCGUUUCCAAAUACAUCCCGACACACUUAUAAACAAAUAUCCCUAAAUACCCUAAGCUCGCGAUUCUCAUUCUUUCUCUUCUCUCAAACCUAGAAGAUCGAAUAUGAAGAUUUCUCUUCCAUUAGCGUGAAUGAGUUGUUGAUUUUAAGGUUUUCAUGAAAGAAGCAAAGGAUCGCGUGAAGAACAAAGUUACCAGGCAGAGGAAGAAGAAAUGGGAGAAGAAUAAAUACUAGUUCAACUAGGUCAAGUGUUGGCUUUUUUACAACAUCAACUGAAUCACAAUCAAGCACAAAGAGAGGAAGAGGUCGACCAAGAGGUUCUACAAAACAGGCUAGUGCUACUAGAAGGGGAAGGAACUGAAACUGGUUUAGCUGGAACUGGAAGGGGAAGAGGAACUACAACUGGAUCUGUUAAUGAAACAAGGAUUAGUGGUGCUGUCAAUGGUUUUGGUCCUACUGGAACGGGUAGAGGAACUGGAACUGAUAUUGUUGGAAGGGGAAGAGGAACUGCAACUAGUGUAGCUCGAAUGGGAAGAAGAAGAGGAACUGGUGUAGCUGCUACUGCUACAGAUAUUCCUGGUGCUACUAGAGGAGUGAAGAGGCCAAGAAUUGUCGGAAUGAGGAUUCUACAUACACAGAGUGGUUUUAAAAUCCACAAUCCUGGAUGCCUAUGAACUCUUCAAUAGUGACCGGAAAUCUUGGGCAUCAUAAACCAUGAUCAGGAUUAAAAUGGAGUGGAAAGGAUGUUGUAACUCAAUAAGGUCUUCAAGAGAUGAGAGAAAACAAAAAAAGGAGAACAAGGUCUAAUGCAUAUGAUGUUUGAUAUGGAGACUGCUUUAGUUUGAUAUUUUAGCUGUUUUUGAAAUAAUUAUGUUGUUGUCACUGCUUUAGAUUGAUAUUUUAUCUGUUUUGUGAACAAUUAUGCAGUUGUGACUGCAUUAAUUUGAUCUAUGUUUGUUUUUGAAAUAAUUAUGUUGCAGCUGUGACUGCGUUAGUUUGAUCUAUGUUUGAAACAAUUAUGCAGUUGUAACUGCUGCAUUAGUUUGUUAUUUUAGUUGUCUCUUUUUGAAACAAUUGUGCAACCAGUUUUGCAUUAAUUUUACACAUACAAUUAUGCAGUUGUGACUGCAAUAAUGUCAAUGCAGUUAUAAAUAAAAUACAAACGAAGUACAUAAAUCAACAAAUUGCAUUAACAUAAUAAGAAGAAUACACAGUUCAUUACAAAAGAGUUUUGCACCUAAUUGAUUACAACAUUUACAGUGUUACACUACUCCAACAUUGAUCUCACUACAUCAAGAGCUUAAGGUAACUUCAUUGAACCUUUCUUCUUAUACAUCACCCAAAAACAAUAGCUUAUAUGCUAUUACCAUAACACAACAACAAGCGACAAACAAAAAGAGCACUUUCUGACAUGUUCUUCGCAAUCUAUUCUGCAUUACUUUCAUCUUCUCAACCUCUUCUUCCAACAUUUUUAAUUUCAUUCCUAGACAAUCAUCAUCUUGUUUGAAAUCUCCCGGCUUGUCAACUUCUUCAUUAUCCUCAACCAAUUCAAAUGCAGUGGCUGAGGUUUGAGAUGAUUCUACUAUAUUCUCAAGCUCACCCAAUUUCUGUAUUAGUUUAAGAAUCACAAAUUUUGACCUCGAAUCAAUAUUCUCUUUAUCCUUUCAACACCAAAAGUUGCAAGAUCUAGGACCCUUCAAUAAUGAAAAAGGAUGAUGGAAUUAGUAAUCAAACUCUUAAUCGACUAAAAUUAAACAAAAAUUAUGUUUACCCAUAAUAAGGACAUGACCAAUAUCUUCUUUCGCGGUUUUUGGAAGUCCAAGAUGUUUUCAAACGCACAACUAGUCCAUGAUUACAAUAAAUAUUUUUUUUCGUAGUAUAAUUAUCUUCUUCCAUACAAAGAUUUGUCAAAUUAAUUGAUCGCAUUGUGUUCUACAAUUUUGUGCAAGAAGUAACAAGAAUCUGGAAAAAACCCAGAUAAUAAGAAAAAGGGACGAAAUAAAAAUAAAAAUAAAAAUAAUAGAUAAAUAAGAAUAGGUUUGAAGCUUACAUUUUGAAGAACAAUUAUUUCUUCAAAGAUUCAACUUUUAGGUUUGAAGAGCUAAGAUUUGAGAAAAUAAAGAAAAAAAAGCAUGAAUUAGGUCAACAUUUUUGGAUGAUUGGGUUAGUGAGGUGAAGAGGAAAUUAGAGUUCUACAAAAGAGAAGAUUUACAUUCAAAUAUGUAAUGGGUCGAAUAUUACCGUUAGAGGGUCAAAUUUUACUUUUAAAAAAUGCUAAAAGAUGAAUUACACCAUACAAAGCUGUAUCAACACGCGCAGGAGGUUGGAGCUCGAAAGAUUAAAAAUAAUUCACAUUAAACAUGUUAAGGAGGGUAUAUAAACACCCGUGUAGUUACUAAAGCGAGUUUUCAUGCCAUGUUCAGAGGGAAUUUGAUCAAUUAUAAUAAGAGUCAAAUACAUAGUUAGCCUCUCUAACUUGUCUUUAUUUUUUAUUUUGGC